rnacentral:rRNA from 1 species
CAGCAGCCGCGGUAAAACGUAGGGUGCAAGCGUUAAUCGGAAUUACUGGGCGUAAAGCGUGCGCAGGCGGUUCGCUAAGACAGAUGUGAAAUCCCCGGGCUUAACCUGGGAACUGCAUUUGUGACUGGCGGGCUAGAGUAUCGGAGAGGAAAGUGGAAUUCCUAGUGUAGCGGUGAAAUGCGUAGAUAUUAGGAAGAACACCGAUGGCGAAGGCAGCCCCCCGGGCCAAUACUGACGCUCAUGCACGAAAGCGUGGGGAGCAAACAGGAUUAGAUACCCGGGUAGUCCCUGUCUCUUAUAC